UACUGAUACACAUGAUUCAUUUCCUCAAUAUUGUUCAUCCUCUUUCUUUCAGAUCGUGAAUGAAGAAAGGGCAACAAAAACAUCCAAGGUUCAGCAUCUUCAGUAAGUUGCUCCUGUUCAUUGUGAGUAACUGUGCUCCUUGAUCAAUUUUUGCACCUAGUUUUGCUUCUUGAUCUUCAGAUUUGGUGCCAGUUCCCAUAUACACUACGAGAAACAUCUAACUUGAUGGUUUCGUGUGCUCUUUGUUCCCAUAUAAAAUACAAAAAAUUGUCGUAUACUAUGACUCCUGUAACUUUGUUCUGCUAGGUGAAUGGAGACAACCUUAGAUAUAGUUCAGUAUGCAGUUACACAUGUAUUGAUACAUAUGCUUUAGCUUUUGUUUUACUAAAUGGGCGAAUGGAGUUUUACUAAAACUUGAGAUUAUAGUUGGAUGUGGUACAACCAGUUAUCAGCGUAUAGCUUAUUGUUUUGUUACACAUUGUGGUCCUGCCAUGGCGGGUGUUGCUUGUCUUUAUGGUUGGUAUUAUAUACUCAUAUCCUUCCGCAUAGUACAUGUUUUUCCUGUUGAAAACCUGUAAUUAUGGACAUGAAUGCCUUACUAUAAUUUUACUAUCAUGUAUAUAUUUUGGUGGUGGCAUGCUGUCAAAUUUCGUCUUAAAUAUGUUAAAAUGGCGCUGAAAUUGACCCUUGUGUAUAUGUGUCAUUUGCAGAUGAGAACCGGAGGAAGAAUUUGGACCCUUCGUUGUAGAUGCCUGAGCAAUGAACAUUGGCAUGCUUUUGGGAAUAUGCAAUUUAAGUUGUGUCAUUUUGUUGUGUGGUUUGUACUGAAUUACAUGCUCUGUAUGCUAUCAAUCAGAUUUGUGAGAUCUACCAUGAAUAUGUGAACUUCAUUUGAUUUAUGAAUGAUGGUUGACUUUGGUGCAAAUAGUGUGUUGUUCUCAGAUGUAGAUUUAAUCAUAUUUGUGUGCUGAGAAUUUUGGUCUGAAUUAGAAUUAUUAGUCUGUCAGC
rnacentral:lncRNA from 1 species